GAAAUUAAGAGUAUAUGGCGGAUGCCUAGACUAAAAAAGGCGAUGAAAGACGUAGCAUGGCGGCGAUACGUUUCGGGGAGGUGCCUAGCAACCUUUGAUCCGGAAAUUUCUGAAUGGGGAAACCCCUCUAAGUAACCCUUAGAGACACUUGCGCUUGACGUAAGUGAGCAUACCAAGGGAAGUAAAACAUUUCAGUACCUUGAGGAAAAGAGAAAAAUAUUUAUUUUCUGAGUAGCGGCGAGCGAAAAGGAAAGAGCCCAAACCCGCACACUUACUUUGCCAUUGUUUUUUUUGUUCUGUUUUAAUUGUAUUACUAAAAAUAAUAUUGUUAAUUUAGAAUAAUAAAAUAAUGAAAUUUUGUUUUGAAAAAACAGAACGAUGGUAAAGUAAGUGUGCGGGGGUUGUAAGGUGACAAUGUAGAUUUAUCUAGAGAAGUUACAAAGUAUGUUAUUAGAUUAAACUUCUGGAAAGGAGUGCCGUAGACGGUGAUAGCCCGGUGAUCGAAAAUUUCAUACCUUCUUGAUUGUCAUUCUUGAGUAACUCAAGACAUGAAUAGCUUGAGCGAAUCCACCAGAACUAACUGGUAAGGCUAAAUACUUUUUUAGAUCGAUAGUGAACUAGUACCGUGAGGGAAAGGUGAAAAGAACCCCGAUGAGGGGAGUGAAAUAGACCUGAAACCAUAUACUUACAAGGAGUCGGAGCGGACGUAUUUAUACGAUCCGUCACGGCGUGCCUAUUGAAGAAUGAGCCAACGAGUUUAUCUAUGCUGCAGGCUAAGCUGUUAGAACAGUGGAGCCUUAGGGAAACCGAGUGUUAAUAGCGCGAACAAUUAAUGUAGUCUAGAUAAGACCCGAAGCGAGGUGAGCUUGCCAUGAGCAGGAUGAAGUUUGUCGAAAGAUAGAUGGAGGUCCGAACCGGUGACCCGUGCAAUAGUCUCGGAUGACUUGUGGUAAGGAGUGAAAAGCUAAUCGAACCUCGUAAUAGCUGGUUCUCUCCGAAAUAGCUUUAGGGCUAGCGUUGUGUGUUCCUCUUGGGGGUAGAGCACUGGAAGAUUUCGACAGGGAGCAAUCUCGCGACAUCUAUCAAACUCCGAAUACCAAGAGCUAAAAGCACAGCAGUUAGGCUAUGGGGGCGAAGCUCCAUCAGCCAAAAGGGAAACAGCCCAGAUCUCUAAUUAAGGUCCCUAAAUAUAUACUAAGUGCGUAUGAAGGAGGUGAAAUUUCUCUGACAGUGAGGAUGUUGGCUUAGAAGCAGCCAUCAUUUAAAGAAAGCGUAACAGCUCACUCACUAAGAGAUUUCGCACCGAAAAUAAUCGGGGCUAAGUAUAUUACCGAAAUUGAGGGCUUCCAAUUUUUUAAAAUCGGGAGCGGUAGGAGAGUAUUCCACUCAGCGUCGAAGCCAAAGAGGUGACUCAUGGUGGAGCGUGUGGAAGUAAGAAUGUUGGCACAAGUAACCGCAAGGUAGGUGAGAUCCCUACCCGCCGAAAGAUCAAGGUUUCCUGGGCAAUGAUUAUCAUCCCAGGGUUAGUCGGUCCUAAGGGGAUGGCGAAAGCCGCACCCGAUGGGCACAUGGUUAAUAUUCCAUGACUGUAUCUAAGGUUAAUGCAAUAGAAUCCGUACCGCAAACCGACACAGGUGAUCAGGUCGAGUAGACCAAGGCGAACGAGUGAGAGGUCUUCAAGGAACUCGGCAAAAAAGCAGCCGUAACUUUGGAAUAAGGCUUGCCAUUCUUAAUUUAUUAAGUUUGGCCGCAGCGAAAGUAUCUCUGGCAACUGUUUAUCAAAAACACAGCUCCCUGCGAACUCGCAAGAGGAUGUAUAGGGGGUGACACCUGACCAAUGCCAGAAGGUCAAAU
rnacentral:rRNA from 1 species